rnacentral:rRNA from 1 species
GUAACCUGCCUCACACAGGGGGAUAACAGUUGGAAACGGCUGCUAAUACCGCAUAAGCGCACAGCACCGCAUGGUGCAGUGUGAAAAACUCCGGUGGUGUGAGAUGGAUCCGCGUCUGAUUAGCUGGUUGGCGGGGUAACGGCCCACCAAGGCGACGAUCAGUAGCCGGCCUGAGAGGGCGACCGGCCACAUUGGGACUGAGACACGGCCCAG